AGCCAGACUCCUACGGGAGGCAGCAGUGGGGAAUAUUGCACAAUGGGGGAAACCCUGACGCAGCGACGCCGCGUGAGUGAAGAAGUAUUUCGGUAUGUAAAGCUCUAUCAGCAGGGAAGAAAAUGACGGUACCUGACUAAGAAGCCCCGGCUAACUACGUGCCAGCAGCCGCGGUAAUACGUAGGGGGCAAGCGUUAUCCGGAUUUACUGGGUGUAAAGGGAGCGUAGACGGCAGAGCAAGUCUGAAGUGAAAGCCCGCGGCCCAACUGCGGGACUGCUUUGGAAACUGCGAGGCUGGAGUGCUGGAGAGGUAAGCGGAAUUCCUGGUGUAGCGGUGAAAUGCGUAGAUAUCAGGAGGAACACCGGUGGCGAAGGCGGCUUACUGGACAGUGACUGACGUUGAGGCUCGAAAGCGUGGGGAGCGAACAGGAUUAGAUACCCCGGUA
rnacentral:rRNA from 1 species